rnacentral:rRNA from 1 species
CAUAUGCUUGUCUCAAAGAUUAAGCCAUGCAUGUCUCAGUACAAGCCGCAUUAAGGUGAAACCGCGAAAGGCUCAUUAAAUCAGUUAUGGUUCCUUAGAUCGUACCCACAUUUACUUGGAUAACUGUGGUAAUUCUAGAGCUAAUACAUGCAAACAGAGUUCCGACCGGAGACGGGAGGAAUGCUUUUAUUAGAUCAAAACCAAUCGGCGGCGGUCCGCUCGCGGUCCGUUCGCCGCUCAAUUUGGUGACUCUGAAUAACUUUCGGCUGAUCGCACGGUCUCGCACCGGCGACGCAUCUUUCAAAUGUCUGCCUUAUCAACUGUCGAUGGUAGGUUCUGCGCCUACCAUGGUCGUAACGGGUAACGGGGAAUCAGGGUUCGAUUCCGGAGAGGGAGCCUGAGAAACGGCUACCACAUCCAAGGAAGGCAGCAGGCGCGCAAAUUACCCACUCCCGGCACGGGGAGGUAGUGACGAAAAAUAACGAUACGGGACUCAUCCGAGGCCCCGUAAUCGGAAUGAGUACACUUUAAAUCCUUUAACGAGGAUCAAUUGGAGGGCAAGUCUGGUGCCAGCAGCCGCGGUAAUUCCAGCUCCAAU